rnacentral:lncRNA from 1 species
CGACACCGAGGCAACAGCACGGAUGCCGGAGGCGCCGGCGCCGGAAGGGCCGAGCGAUCCUGCGCGGAGGGGAGAUUAGCCGAAAAAGAGGGGCGGGAAAGAAGGGCGGGCACUUGAGUGAGAACGUUAGAAGUAACGUUAAAAGCUCUCACUAUGAAGGCGGAAUGAAGAAGAGAGAGGAGGCUGGCGCCAAAGAGAGCCAGCCUGUACGACUUCCUCAUGGAAGCUCGCUUAGAGGCUUCAUUCCCUCCGGCCCCUUCGGGGCCUCCGGUCCUCCGCCUCUAACCCCACGCACUAGCUACACUGAGGCAGCGUGGUAUGAGGUGGUUGUGGGGUUAGUUGUUUGCCCGAGCCUAACGAGAUAGGUCCCAACUAUGGGCUGGGCGGUGGGGUCGGGGAGGCCAGGGGCGGUAAAAAGGCGGGCUGUUGAUGCCGGUUUGGCGGUUUUCCUUGCUGGGUUGGAGUUGAUCACGUUUUGGUGCACAUGACGAACUGUGGAGCGCAAGAUAUCAUGGAAGGGAGGCGAAACGAGAAAGGCACUCAGGUGACUUCAGGCGAGAGAAGAAUACAGAGCAAGCACACAGGGGCAUGGGCGUCCCAAUACCCCGAAUGGACACACACACGUACCGUAAUAAGUACGGUCAUACCUGACAAGCCGCCACAGGUAGGGUGUAGGCUUGCGGUGUAGGCUCCGCGUAUUGACUAUAAUGACCUGCAAUGCACACUUCUUGCCAUAUCUGCGAGGUUGAAAAAUGUUGAGACUUAAUGCGCAGUACGGUACUACACAUGCGUAGUGCUACUACCGUACUGCAAAUUGUGGUUCAUGACGGCUUGGACGCAAUGUCUUGUGACAAUAAUGUCUUGGCCUGCUGAACGCAUACCAGCAGGGCUUUGUGCCCUUCAGCAGGCUCGUGCCCAUGUUGAUAACACAAGUAUUAUACAGUACAACCGGUCGUACUGUAUGGGCACCUACAUGCGCAAUCAGAGGCCUACAGAUUGUACAGAGGCGACUGGCCUAAACCAGCCCUGACCUGAUACUCAGCCCCCAAUCCAACCCAAC